GGGGGGGGCAAGCGUUGUUCGGAAUUACUGGGCGUAAAGGGUCUGUAGGUGGCUUGCUAAGUCAGACGUGAAAUCCCUCAGCUUAACUGGGGAACUGCGUCUGAGACUGGCGAGCUUGAGGGCAGGAGAGGAACGCGGAAUUCCAGGUGUAGCGGUGAAAUGCGUAGAUAUCUGGAGGAACACCGGUGGCGAAGGCGGCGUUCUGGACUGCAUCUGACACUGAAAGACGAAAGCCAGGGGAGCAAACGGGAUUAGAUACCCCGGUAGUCCUGGCCCUAAACGAUGAAUGCUUGGUGUGGCGGGUAUCGAUCCCUGCCGUGCCGUAGUUAACGCGAUAAGCAUUCCGCCUGGGGAGUACGGUCGCAAGGCUG
rnacentral:rRNA from 1 species